AUUUGUUGAAAAUCACCGCUCGUCUUAGUUGUGGCCUGCUUUGAGAUUUGGCUCCCAGAGCCACCAGGGGCCUCAGCUCACCUCCUGAUGCCAUGGUGUAGGAAGGUGAAACCCAUGUCCCAACAAGC
ensembl:snoRNA